GGCGAACGGGUGAGUAACACGUGGGUAAUCUGCCCUGCACUCUGGGAUAAGCCUGGGAAACUGGGUCUAAUACUGGAUGUGACCUUUCUCCUUAUGGGGUUUGGUGGAAAGUUUUUCGGUGUAGGAUGAGCCCGCGGCCUAUCAGCUUGUUGGUGGGGUGAUGGCCUACCAAGGCGACGACGGGUAGCCGGCCUGAGAGGGUGAUCGGCCACAUUGGGACUGAGAUACGGCCCAG
rnacentral:rRNA from 1 species